UCUUGCAGCACCAAAUGUAACUAGCAUAGCUGUUACUCCAUCAGAGGUAACUGGUACUAUACGCCCUCACACUGGGAUAACUGGUUCAACAGGGCCUAAAACU